GUUUUACCCCUAUCAAUCUGUUUUUUGCAAAUAAGAUGCCAAUAGGGUUUGGGAGUUACAGGUUUUGUGAAUACGCUCGCGUAGCUAAAGUGUAGCAUGUUCCAAACAACUCAAAGAGUUACUGUGAACACAGUUUAAGUCUGACUGAUUGACAAACGUAUCUCUGACUCUUUUGUCAGGCAUGUUGCACCUUUGAUGCGCCUUAUGAGAUAUGUUCUAAAAUAGCUGGUCGUUUUUAUGAAUGUUAAAGCAAUUUUGAAAGGAAAGUUUGUUCCCGCCUGCAGCUACAGUUAAAGGGUGGAGGAGAGCAGAGGCGUAAAUAACAGAGGAGCCAGUUCUGUCAUUUCAAGAGGCAGAAACGAGUCAAAACAGAGGCCGUCUUGAAGGAGAGAUGGCAGCGAUCCAGAGACGCAGUUUGAGUAAGGAGCUGUCGGAGCGUCCGGGAAGGAGGAGUUUUUCCAGCGUCAGGAGAACCAGGCGGGACGUCACUUUAUGGAUUUAAGCCCCAAUGACCAUUUAGACGGGUUGGACAUGAAGACUGAACGGGUAAAUCUGCCAAUAGAAGAAGA